GGAAAAGACCUCUAAGAUCCCCAAACCCAACUCCACCCCAUUCCCACCAUACCCACUGACCACAUCCCUCAGUGCCACAUCUCCACCAUUCUGAACACUCCCAUAACACCAACAUAAAGAGGAGAAGGAGCCCCAGCUCCACACUGCUUGCCAUCACAGUGCUCCAAACUGUUAAGGAAGCCCUUUUGCCCAGCAAGACAACAUGAGUGCUUCCAGAGGGUUCAUGCACAGGCACCCCAUAGCUCAUGGCAGACCUAGGAGUUCAGAAACAGGCUUUGGAAAGAAAUACAGCAUGUUCAGAAAUGGAGUGCAGUCAUGGAACUGAUCCUAGCUUGGAUGACCAACCAGGACCCUCAAGGUCCUCCCAGCCUCACUGGAUCACUUCCAGCAUUUAUUGGUAUUUCUGGAGCAGCCAGACAGGUCUGAACUAAUUAAUGUUGCAGGAGGAUAAUUCUUCACCUUGUGUACUGUAAAACUACGAGUCACGUGGGGAUGAAGUUACUUUACAACAC
rnacentral:lncRNA from 1 species